rnacentral:rRNA from 1 species
CUCAAUGAAAUUCAAUAGCCGCAACAUUCUUGUGCUAAGGUAGCAUAAUCAUUUGUCUUUUAAUUAAAGACUAGAACGAAAGAUUUAACAUUUUUAUUUCUAUCUAAUAUAUAUUUCUUUAAUUUAUUCCAAACAUUAAAAAAUGUUUACCUUUUAAGAAGACGACAAGACCCUAUUGAACUUAACUAAAGUUAAACUGGGGUAGUUAAUUAAAUAUAAUUUUAAUUUAAAUUAAAAAAAACACCUAAUACAAUUAAAUAUAUCAAGUUACCAUAGGGAUAACAGCGUAAUAAUUUUCAUAAGCUCUCAUUAAAAAAAUUGUUUGCGACCUCGAUGUUGAAUUAAUAAUCUAUUAAAUGCAAUAACUUAAUAAGAAAGUCUGUUCGACUU